CGCAACGCGAAGAACCUUACCAAGGCUUGACAUAUACAGGAAUAUGGCAGAGAUGUCAUAGCCGCAAGGUCUGUAUACAGGUGGUGCAUGGUUGUCGUCAGCUCGUGUCGUGAGAUGUUGGGUUAAGUCCCGCAACGAGCGCAACCCUCGUUCUGUGUUGCCAGCAUUUAGUUGGGGACUCACAGGAGACUGCCGGGGUUAACUCGGAGGAAGGUGGGGAUGACGUCAAAUCAUCAUGCCCCUUAUGUCUUGGGCUGCACGCAUGCUACAAUGGCUGGUACAAACGGCUGCAAUACCGCAAGGUGGAGCGAAUCCGAGAAAGCCAGUCUCAGUUCGGAUUGGGGUCUGCAACUCGACCCCAUGAAGUCGGAGUUGCUAGUAAUCGUGGAUCA
rnacentral:rRNA from 1 species